rnacentral:rRNA from 1 species
AUUGAACGCUGGCGGAAUGCUUUACACAUGCAAGUCGAGCGGCAGCGCGGGGCAACCUGGCGGCGAGCGGCGAACGGGUGAGUAAUACAUCGGAACGUACCCAGUUGUGGGGGAUAGCCCGGCGAAAGCCGGAUUAAUACCGCAUACGACCUGAGGGUGAAAGAGGGGGAUCGCAAGACCUCUCGCAGUUGGAGCGGCCGAUGGCGGAUUAGCUAGUUGGUGGGGUAAAGGCCUACCAAGGCGACGAUCCGUAGCGGGUCUGAGAGGACGACCCGCCACACUGGAACUGAGACACGGUCCAGACUCCUACGGGAGGCAGCAGUGGGGAAUUCUGGACAAUGGGGGCAACCCUGAUCCAGCCAUUCCGCGUGAGUGAAGAAGGCCUUCGGGUUGUAAAGCUCUUUCGGCAGGAACGAAACGGUCUUUUCUAAUAAAAGAGGCUAAUGACGGUACCUGAAGAAGAAGCACCGGCUAACUACGUGCCAGCAGCCGCCGCCG